rnacentral:rRNA from 1 species
CAUAAUUUUAUUUUUAAACUUCUAAAAAUAAAGAAAACUUCCAAAUACUACAGUACUCUUCAAAAAAUCUAUUUUUACUUAAAAACCGCAAGGGUCAAUAUUUAGCCUUUUUAAGAAGUAAUAACCACGUAUCCCUUUUGCAUCAUGGAGAAGCAACAAAAUUAUAGCAAGCUAAAUUCCCGAAUGACUAUGAGCUACUAAACUUUAAAACUCAAUGUGUCAAAAUUGACAAAUUAAUCCUUAGUAGAAGUAACAAGCCUUUCAUAUAGUCGUAUAGCUGGUUUUUCUUUAAAAGCAUCAAAGUGCUGACUUAUAGUACAAACAGUAACGCUAUUAACACUAUAAAGUUUAACUUAUUGAGGAUAAGCUCAAUAAUAUCAUCAAAAAUAUUUUACUAUCCUGUCAUUAAAAGUAGGCUUAAAAGCAGCCACCAUACAACGUUCCAGUUACCAACUGCUAACCAAACAAUAUCCAUACAUAACAUUUUAAACCUAAAGAAAUUUAAUAUAAAAUUCUACAUAUUAAUAAACAGGCAUUCUAUUAGUAUUAACGUAAUCUCUCAUUCACAACUCUAAAUGAAUCUGAAUCACAAUCACUUUACCCUUUAAAAUAUACAAAGCGAACUCGGCAAAUAAAUUCCCUGCCUGUUUACCAAAAACAUCGUCUUUUGAAUCUCCCUAAAUAAAAGAUAAUGCCUGCCCAGUGAAAAUUUUAAACGGCCGCGUUAGCGUGAGCGUGCUAAGGUAGCGUAAUAAUUAGCCUUUUAAUUGGAGGCCAGUGAAUGGCAAGACUAGGAAUAACUGUACUUUGUAUAUAAAAAGAACUUUUCAUCUAAGUGAAAAGACUUAGAUAAUAAAGGAAGACGAAAAGACCCCGCGGAACUUUACCUUUUUUUGUACUUCCGUCUACAAAUUUAAAAGUACAUGAGGUUUGAUUGGGGCAAUCUUGGAACCGACAAAGCUUCCAAUUUAUUUUAAGCCAUAUUAAAAAUUUAUUAAGGACUAAAAAGUAGUUACCCCGGGGAUAACAGCGUAAAUCUACUUAAGAGGACCCCGGGUAAGCUCGAAUCACGGCCUCGAUGUUGGCUUAAGGAUAUCCACAUAAGUGAAGCCGCUAUGUCAGGAUAGUCUGUUCGACUAUUAUACCCUUACACGAGCUGAGUUAAGACCGGCGCAAGCUAGGUUGGUUUCUAUCUCCUUUAACUUACAAACCUUUCUUGAUUGUACGAAAGGACCUCAAGAAAUGCAGUUAACAAAAGCAUUUAUAAAACUCAUAUACCUUUGAUUUAAAGUAAUACACCCUGCAUUUAUAAACCAAACAUCACUAAUUUACCUAUUAA